CCUACGGGAGGCAGCAGUGAGGAAUAUUGGUCAAUGGACGAGAGUCUGAACCAGCCAUGCAGCGUGAAGGAUGACUGCCCUAUGGGUUGUAAACUUCUUUUAUAAAGGAAUAAAACGAGGCACGUGUGCCUUUUUGCAUGUACUUUAUGAAUAAGGAUCGGCUAACUCCGUGCCAGCAGCCGCGGUAAUACGGAGGAUCCGAGCGUUAUCCGGAUUUAUUGGGUUUAAAGGGAGCGUAGAUGGGUUGUUAAGUUAGUUGUGAAAGUUUGCGGCUCAACCGGAAAAUUGCAUUUGAUACUGGCAGUCUAGAGAACAGUUGAGGUAGGCGGAAUGCGUGGUGUAGCGGUGAAAUGCUUAGAUAUCACGAAGAACACCGAUUGCGAAGGCAGCUUACUAAACUGUGACUGACAUUGAGGCUCGAAAGUGUGGGUAUCAAACAGGAUUAGAUACCCUAGUAGUC
rnacentral:rRNA from 1 species